rnacentral:lncRNA from 1 species
GUCUCUCAAGAAUUAAUGGGUCUUGUUGAAGCAAUUCUAACAAGUAAGUCAUUGCCAUUGCUGUGAUUACAGCCCACAUUGUCCCCAUCAAAAACGACAUAAGAAUCCUACGCUUCUGUAGUGGCAAGCCGCUUUUGAGCAGUAGUAUAAUGCUCAGAGAACCCAGAAGACCAGUGGUGUUGAACAAUAAAAAGCAAGUGUACGAUAUGUGUAGUUGCUGAUGUCGGCAAGAAGCAGAAGUGUCAUGCCAAGGACUAUUUAGGAGGGUCCGCACCAGCUUGGAAAGCCAUGCAGCAAUCAGUGAUGCCACCACCAUUAUGGCAUUUCGCAUUUUUUCCAACCAAUCAUCUUCCAGCUUUUUAGUUGAAUUUUCUAACCCUUUACCUUGUUGAUUUUGGCUAUUACUUUCAAGGGAUAUUAAGCUGUUAGUCUAUUCAUUUGCUGACAAUUGAACAUCCUUUGCUCUAUAUGCCCCAGCACGUCGAAUCAACUCCCCAAUCUCCCAAUCUUUUAUGUCUCUUUUGCUUUGUGCUAGUACAUCCAAUGCUGUGAAGCCAUUUGCAUUAAGAGCAUUCGCAUCUAUGAUAACUAGUUGUCAAAAACCUUAUGACCUGCAUAUUUGAUUAUUAGUAUAUGAUAAAAAGAAAGCAUAAAUUUCAAUUUACAUACACCCACCUAGAAUGACAAUAUUCAACUAACUCCACAAGAAUCUGAAAACAUAACUUUACUCCAUUGGUCAUUAAGAAGAUAAGAAUUUCAUCAACACGCUCUCAUUUUGCUCUCAUCUUUGAAAAUGAAAAUGGUAGUAAAUUGAUAAUUUCAUAUCUUGCAAGUAAAUAAAAGAUUGUCAUUUUAGUUGAGGUAAAUUAAAUUAUACCCAAAUACAAAUGUUCAUUAAAAUAAACGAGUGCCUAUAAUGUGAUCUGCAUUAGAUUUCUAAACUUAUUUGAAAAGCAAGCCAAAAUUGACCUUCUAAAGUAACUCUUGCUUGCUACAAAUCAAAUUAUUAGGAACUGGUGGAGAACUUAAUUCAUUAGAAAAACUUUUAAGAUUGUGAUUGAUUUGAACUUGAAGAUUUUUCACCUAUAAGUAUAUUUAUUUCUUUCGCAGCACAAACAAAUUAUGUACUUCACAAAUGUGAAUAAAACAAUACCUCAAUUUGUUUACCUGCAACUGCGAGCUGCAAGAUAGUCAUGCCAUAAUCAUCCUCAGGAUUCAAAACUUGAGGAUCAUCCAUAUAAUCGAACAAAAAUUUCAGUGCCUCCAGCUGAUCGUGUUUCACACACAGAUUUAAGAUGGUCUCACCCCAUCAUCGUGGCUGAAGCUGCAAGCGGUCAGGUUCUGAACAACUCUCCCAAGGGCCAAGGCAUCAAUCCGUCCUUUCAUGGCUGCCAAAUGAAGAGGAUUUCUUCCAUCCAGAUCACGAGCAAAACACAUGGCAGGAUUAACUUGUAAAACUGCUUUUACCAUGUCAACAUAACUCUUUUAUGAUGCUAUGUGAAGUGCUGAAGAGUGAUUUGGGUCCAACUCUCUAGCAAGCUCUGGCUUUUGGCAUAUAAUCUCCUUCACAAAAUCCACAUGUCCAAGCAAUGCUGCCACAUGCAAAGGAGACUCAAAGAGCCAAUUCAUCCUAAAUCUGUUUAUGAUUAAUAGAUCCCGUUAUUCUAACAAGGUAGGCACGCUCCCUUUUAAUGCCUGCUUCAUAAAGCAUACUUUUCAUUGUUUCCAUAUCCAGUGCUAUUGUAAUUGUUCUUUGAUGUGUGGAAAAUUCUGCUUGCAUAAAUUAAAAAGUAAAAACUUUAGAUGAAUUAAAGACCAGCAGUCAGAGAUUCAUGCGUACAGAGCCUUGAGUAGACUUUAGAUAAAGUAAAAAGUUGUGUCCAAUUUUUCAAAGCAUAAAAUCUAUUUCAUUCCUAAUUUCCAUCCUGUGGACCUGUACUCUUUGAUAUUUUGAUGUGUUCGAAAUGUUGCCUCUUGAAUUUUUUAUACAUGUAGGACCCUAAUGCAUGGGGUUAUGGUAAAAUGUGAAAGAGCUGAUCAAUUUUUUUUUUAAAUCAAAUUGUUUGUGGUGAUGUGCGAAUUUCUUUGAAAGAGUUUAGGAGAAUGACAACUUUUUUUAAUUCUCAGAAUUUACAGUCAUAAUAUUCAUCAUCUCAUUAACUGGUCUAACAAUUAUUGUUGUUAAAUGACAAUUAGUUGUGUGAAGUGCUUCAUUAUUCCGUUUUGUCUACUUAUCUUUGCCAUCAUCGUUGGCGCGGUGCUUUACCAGUUCCAGCAAACGUAGACAACCAAAACAGUGAAAAUGUUGAUAAUAAUAAAAACCUGAGUUAUCGUUGAGGUUUAGGUUGCUGUCAAGAAAUUAUGAUAGAAGGAAAAUUCUGGCAAUAAAGGCUGCUUGCUCCAGGCUGCUUGCUCCAAGCUGCAGCUAUCAAAUCCUCAAAAUUUCCAGCUGCAGCUAAAUGCAACUGCACAAAAUUAAACGAAAAAGAAGCUAACAUUGUUCAUCCAUUACCCUUGGCCAGACUUGAAUUGACAUAAGGACACUAGAAUUUCAUGCCUUUUAACAAUUUCAGUUCCAACCCGACAAUUAAUCAUCAAAAUUUAAACUGCAAAUCAGGUUAGAAAGAGAGAACAAUGAAGACUUGGUGAUUAAGCAAUUUUGACUUACCACCUUUGCUGAUCAUUAUCUACAGAAUAUAUCUAUGAAUUUGCUGCCAACUGAGUCCAGGAGCUGGUUUCAUAUUCUAAAUUAAUUUAGACUUGUGAAUCAGGUAAUGGUUCAAACAUGUCAAUAAUUUACUGCUUUUGACAGGUUGAGCCACCACUGCUUCAUUCAUUUAUUUACAGAUGUGUAAAAUAUUAGAAAAUAUUGCGUAUUCUUUAGAGACAAAUUGAUUCAAAAAAAUUAAUGCUUUUCAAGGGAGAGCAAUUUUCCAAAAAGAGGCAACUGCCCACAAUGUUUGCCAUAACUGUUUAGAUUGGUUAAUGAGAUCAUCCAGCUGGGGAAACAGCGUUGCCUCUGUAUGGCUCUAUUGCUAAUUCCUUUAAAUUGAGAGGUGUCUGCAAGGCUUCAAGAAGUUGUUGCUCGUCAUCCUUCUUCCUCCAUCUUCAUCUUCCUCUGUCGAAAUUAAGUCUCAAAUCAAUGAGGUUUUUCAUUUUGUCUAGCUCUAAUCUCUUAGCCUCGCCCACAUCUGACACGUUUCAGAAUCCUCUGCUCCGUCCUCUAAAUAUCUGCCGCAAUUUUCAAACGUAAAACAUAAAUCAAUAAUAGAUCUGCAAAAUAGCUUAAACCUUCAAAUUAAUUUCAGUUUUUUUAAUUCAUAUAUAUAUUUCACCUGUCUAUGCGCACCAAAAUAAUUUCUGGUGACAUAAUAACAACUGGUAUCUCUCUGCGAGUAGAUGAUUCCUGCUCAGGAUUAAAAAAGAAAAAAUUAAAAAAAGGAAAACAAAAACAGAUCGAGAAAUGAACAAAAAUUGAUUCUGUCAAUUAAGAAAAAUAAUUGUUGAAUAAAUAAAGUUAAACAGAGUUGUUGCCUCAAUUUUCUUAAAGUAGCUCGUAUCCGGUCAUUCAGGGCAUACAGUAAUCUCUGACUAUCAAAUCCAACUCUAAACCUGAAUCCAGUGCACAAUUGAUUAGAAAUCAGCUCGAAUUUUAUUUAAAAAAUACAGAAAAUUGAGCCUAAUGUUUGAACUCUUAAUCCAGUUCAAAAUUCACUCACAUCGAAGCCAUUAGCGCUCUGUUCCUCAUCUAAUCCAAGGAAUUGCAGAGCUCUCCUUCCGCUACAACUGCAGUAGCUGCAAAUGGAAAAUAAAAUCAGGAAAAAAAAUUUAAAGAAAUAAUUGAAGAAAGAUGGUAAGAAAAUACAGAUCUCUACAAGAAGAGAUAGUUAGCAACCUCUCAAUGACUUUUCUAUCAACAAAGCUAUCGUUCAACUGCCGGGACAUGAAGUUCUUCAGCGUCACACGGCGAUAAAUCGAAACCGUUGAUCAUAUCAGACAUCAACCUCCAGGAAGCGACGCCGUUUGUCGUCGUCAUCUCUUUUCUUAGUUCUCACAACAAAAAAAAGAAGAAAGGAUUGUUGUUCACGUAGAAGUUACUUAAGGGGCCGAGUUGAAAAUUAGACCCCACAAUCAAAAACUCGUACUUACUUUCACUUCCGAUAUUCUUUUGUCCCCCUCUUGUAUUUAAUUUCACUUCCGAUAUUAUUUAAUGUAUGCACCAGUAAGAGAGUAUUGCCACCUCAAAUAAAAACAUUAGAGAUUAAUUAUAAAAUAAUAAUUAUGAUAAAAAUUAAUUAAGAAUUUUAUAGUAAAUUAAACUAAAAAAAAUAUUAACUUAAUAGAAAAAAAUAUGAAUUAGUACUAAACCGGAUAGUGUUUUUCCUCACGCAGGUAACUUUAAUUUGCAUAUAUUACUGUUUAUCAAUAGUCUUUUUCUUUUAAAUAUAUAUUACAAUUAUUUUAUUCAGAAUAUUUUACUAAUUGAAUCUAUAUUAUAAAUCGGAAGUUAUGAUAAUUUAUGCAUAUCUAUAACCUUAGGAAAGAUAAAGUAUUACUUUUUCAUUAUAAAAGAAGUUUGUAAACAAUAUUCAAGUUAAAUCGCAUUAAAUAUAUUUUAUAAAAUAAACAAUUUUACAGUUAAGAGUGAUAACCAAUCAUUUCCUUAAAACGAUUCCGACAAAAUAAAAAGUUUUGAAUAUUGGUGUGAUUGGAUCGUGAGUUGCAUGCGAUCGGAGCAACGUCGUUAGUUUAAAAGAAAUUGAAACACUUUUUUUUUUUAAUACUGUUAUAUAAAACUGUUAUUCAUAUUAUAUCAGGUAUUACAAUUAAUAUUUACAAACAGAUUAUAUAAUUGGGACCUUCGUCGUGGCACGUACUCCUCUAAAGCGCGGCCUAAAUUCUUCAAACAUUCUCAAAUAUUCAAGGGGACUGUGUCUCCACUCAAUUAUAUGAUAAUUGAGAGAUGAUUGAAACUAACCCCAUAAAUACUUUUAUGGAGGCUUGAAGUCUCGAACCCUUACUUUCAACAUUGUAAGUGUAAGAACUCUCCUAUUGAGACAGAGGCCCAUUGGUAAGAAAUUAAAACACUUGAUGAUGAACAAAAGAACCCUAGAGGAAGAAAUAUGUGGGUACUGGGUAGGUUAGAUGAUACAAGUUGUUUCGUUUGUCAUGGAGGUGGAAAUUUGGACUUUAAUUAUAAUAUAAAAUAAAAAUAAAAAUACGACGGGCGAAACUAACUAUAGUUAAGGGGAAGAAGUUGAGACAAAUUAAGCUUGGUUAAUUAAUCUAUUAAAGAUAAUUAAUAAUAAUUUUUAAUUAAAUUGUUAAUAAUAAUAAUUAACAAUAAUUAUUAUUAAUAAUUAAUUUUUUUAAUAAUAAUAAUAAUCACUAUAAUUAAAAUACAAAAUAAUAAUUAAGAUAAAAAUUAAUAAGGAUUUUAUAAUUGAAAUACUAACUCGGCAACCCAAGAGGGGGGUGAAUUGAGAUUUUAAAAAUUAUCCUAGGCAAACCACACAACAAUUUAAUCUAAUGCCUUAAUAAAUUCGAAAACAAUAAAUUCAAUAAAAGCACAAUAAUAAAUGAGUAAGGGAAGAGAAAGCAAACUCAAGGAUUUUUACGUGGUUCGGCAAUCCCCGCCUACGUCCACGCCUCCAAGCACACCGGGCUUGAGGAUUUCACUAUCCAAGCCUUUCCAAGGCUUCAAAUGUUUACAAUUGACUUCAAGGUGUCAAUGAACCUUUACAACAAGAGAUUAUAUCUCCAAUCUCUUCACCCCAAGUGUUUCUCACACUUGUACUCUCACAAUUUGAUGAGAAAUAAAAAAUACAACAAUGAAUCUCUCUUUAAGAGUGGAUAUACAAAUUGAAGAACAAAGAUGAUUUAAUGAAUGAUGAUUCAUGAAGUUGAAGCUCAAUAUAUGUUGUGUGCACUUGUUCUUGCUUGCUUGGAUCAUCAAAAAUGAAUUGGUUUUGAAUUUAUAUAGUUUGAACUCAAAAACUAGCCGUUACUCACAUUCUGAGCGUAUCCGGUUUGCCGGUUAUGGAAUCCGGUAAGCCGGAUUUAUGUUACCGUUAAGGCAAAAUUCAAAAUUAUGCCUAUCCGGCUUGCCGGUUUCUGAAUCCGAUAAGCCGUUUACGUUCUGGAUGCAUUCUGCCCCGUAUCCGGUUUUUCAGUUUUUGUAUCCGGUAAGCCGGAUGCUACAGUAACCUGCUACAGUGCACUAUUUUCUAAAAUUAUAGUUUGACCCCAUAACUUUACAAAACUGUACUAUGGCCUAAAAUGUUAUGAAACUUUGUAAAUAGAUCCAAUUUCAGAACUUCUAAAUAAUGUUUCGUUAAUCCCAAAACUUUUUGAAAUUAUGAUAUAGCCAAAAAAGUCCUUCACCAAAAUUUCAAGCAAUACUUGUUUAUUUCAAAGUUUUCAAAAUUCUUUCAAUUAAACCAUAAACUUUGAAAAACAACCAAUUUCAUAAAAUCAUUUUUCCAUUAAAUAUAAAACAUUUAUAAUGUGAAAAUAAUGAUUUAUUUAAAAAUAAUAUUAAAUAAUUUGAGCUUAAAGAUUUAUCAUUUUUAAUCUUGUUUGUUAUCAUCAAAAUCAACAUUAUGAAAAUAUAUAUGUUAACAAUCUCCCCAUUUUUGAUGAUGACAAACAUUUCAUGUAUUUAAAGAAUAAUUCCACAAAUUUCUCCCCCUAAAUAUAAUCUUCUUUUACAAUUUGCCAAUUAGCUAAAUUCAUGAUUUAAAUACAUGGAAUUUUCUCCCCCUCAUCAUCAAAAAGAAAAACUUAAUUGGCAAAGAAAAAAAUAGUAAUUUUUUUUUUUUAUAAAUUUGAAAACAUGUAUUCUUCUCCCCCUUCAUCAUAAAAAAGAAAACAUAAAGGAAAAGAAUAAGAGUAGGAAAUUUGUUACCCAUGUUGUCCAAGUAGAAAUUUCAAUACAUUCUUCCCCUAACAACAAGCAUCACUUCAAAUACAAGAUUAGUAAUAUCACAUCCAAAUUAUUAUAGAUCAUGAUAAAAGCCAGCUCCAUACACAAAUAAUCACACCAAAAUAUCAUGAACCAUUAUUCCAUUAAUUACCAAAUCAACAACUCAUAGCAUAAAAUUUAUCAUAUAAAACACCCAUGCAAUCAAAUCACCAUUAUAUCUCAAAAUCAUCAAAAACAUCAUCAUAAUCAAGUAUCAAUUAUCAAAACAAUUACUCAAAAUGCAUAUUAUUCAAAAAUCAUAUUAUAUGCUCCCCCUAAAUAUAUGGCCAAUUUAAAAAUUUAACCGAAAGGAUUUUAUCCAAAAACAUAUCAUAUUUAUCUCCCCCUUCAUCGUAAAAAAGAAAAGAUAGAUGCAAUUAAAACAAGAUAAAAAUAAUAAUAAUUCGAUGAAGAUAUUACCCAUUUUGUACGAGCAAAAAUUUCGGUAAAGUCUCCCUUUAAAAAUGGACAAAUUCUCAAAUACACAACAUGGUUAAAAAGAUAUAAGCUUCAACAAUUAUAACAAACCAAUAACUCCAUCAAUUCAUCAAGCAAUGCACAUAUAAUCAUCAAUCAUCAAAAUCAAUAUGAAUUCCCCCAACACUUGUAACAAUUAAAUCCGAGAAUUCCAUAAUCAUAUAUCAACCAUUAAAAGAAUGCUCAAAAUGCAUGUUAUUUCCCCUAAUUUACAUCAUUAAAAUGAUUUAUUACUUUGUCUCCCCCUUUGGACAAUAAAAAUGUUAAAAAAAAAACAUAUUAUCCAAAAUAUAACAAGUAAUAAGCUAAGAAAGGGAAUGCAAAAGUCAUAAGAGCAUAAUGUCAACAAUUCAAGCUCUAUAAUUACUAAUCACAUUUUAGAAAUCAAGACAACUAAACUCAUCAAAGAUCUAAUGUGACAUUUUAAUAUAACUUACACUCUCAUAUGCGCCAAGAUCUUAAUGAUCAUGCAUUUCUCCCCCUUUUGAUAUCAUUUAAAGCAAGUAAUGCAUAUUUAACAAUGCGUCAAGAAAGCACAAAAAUAUAUCUAUUCACCAAUCAUAAAUUCCAUAAGAUCAAAUUUCAUCAAAUACAAUGGAAUCAUCAAAGCACAUUCUUUAUCAUCAAAACUUUAGUAAAGCAUAAGUACAUAAUAGCAAUAUAUAGAUCAUCAAAAUCAACAUAUGCUUAAGAAUCUCAAAGUAGAUGUAUUUCUCCCUUACAUCUCAUAUCUCCCUCUUGAUCAUCAAAAAGUCAAGAUAAGCACAUUAGUUCCACAUUAUCCAAAUAUAAAACAUCCAAAUAGCAAACAAUAAUCAUCAUCAAUCCACAAUGAAAGCAACAAUGCAUAUGAAAAUGUAAGUGCAUAAUAUAAUAGAAAACUAUGGUAAAAUCCAUAAGGAAAGCACACUAUGGAAGUGGUAAUUUGAAAUACUCAAAAUGCAUAAAUUCAAAAUUUUCAAGAUAUUGAGUAAAAUGAGUAAGUUUGAAUCAAUUAAAAUGAUUUUAGACACAAGAAUGGAUGGGGAAUAAUUUAUAUGAAUCAAUUUGGAUUGAAAACGAAUGAGAAUGAUGGAUUUUGGAAUGAAAAAGAAUGAAGGAAGAAACCAUUUUUAAAGAGAGAAUGAGAUCCAGUUUGCCGAAAUGAAGAAGAAGAUGAAUGGUUUUAAAAUGUGCGAAUUCGGCUUACCGUUUAGCAUAACCAUAUGAUAACAAGCAUAUCAAGCCAUGUAGUAAAACAUGAAUUAAGAUUCAACAUUCAUCAUUCCAAGCUCAUGCCUUAUCUUUAUAAAAUGCUCUUCACUAAGAGGUUUUGUAAAGAUGUCCGCAAGUUGAUUUUCAGUGGAAACAAAUUUAAUUACAACAUCCCCUUUUUGAACAUGAUCUCUAAGGAAAUGAUGUCUAAUUUCUAUAUGCUUAGUCCUAGAAUGUUGAAUGGGAUUCUUGGAAAGAUUUAUAGCACUAGUAUUGUCACAUAAGAUAGGAAUUUGAUCAAGCUUAAUACCAUCACUUAUAAUCAAUAAGGCAAUAAUAGUUACCAAAACAAUUAAAUCAUCUUGCCUCAUUAUUUUUGCUUUAGACUAUGAUCAAGUGAUUAUCUCCACAAGCUUCAUCAAGGAACUUUCCACCAUUCCUUGUUUAUGGUACCUACAAAAACAAAUUCAAGUUGUACCCUUUGGUACCCAAAUACUCUUGGGUCCUUGAAUGUUAGAUUUAGUUCCUUUUGGAACCCAAAUACAUUUGACUCCAUAAUAUACAUUUCUCUUAAUUGGACAUUUAAAACUCAUAUGACCAUUUUCAUUGCAAUAAUGACAUACAAUUUGAUCAUUUGUGGAGGUAGCCUUAACAAAAUAAUUCUUAUAAUAUUUUUGUUUCAAGUAAGGCUUAUACCCAAGUCCUCCUUUAUCAAACACAUAUUUUUGUGAAUUAAGCAUGUUAUCCAACAUCUUUUGCCCAUUUGUGAAUUUCAAAACAAUCUCAUUCAACUCAUUGCUCUUUUUCUUAAGCGUUUCAUUUUCAUUUAUUAAUUCAUCAACAUGCGAUUUUUCAUGCUCAUACAAAGUACUUUGUUUACAUGUGAAUGAUGCAAUUCUAUCAUGCAACAUUUUAUUAUCUAACUCUAGUCCUUUAAUCUUUUCAUUUAAUGAAUCAUUGCAUUUUUGUAGAGCAUCAUUUUCAUUUUUCAAGUUAUCUACAUAUGAUUCUAGAUGCUUAUGUGAAGUGCUAGGUUUCUCAUUUGAUAAUGCAACUUUAUCAUGCAAUGUUUUAUUUUCUAAUUCUAGGCAACUAAUCUUUGCACUUAGAGUUUCAUUUUCAUUUGUGAGCUCUACCAUUUUCUUUUUAAAACAUGCAUUCUUUUUACCAAUUUUCAUCCAUUCAUCAUACAAUUCUUUAAACGCAUCAUGUAAUUCAUUAUAAGUAGGAAGAUCAUUUACCUCGUCAAGUUCACCAUCCGAUUCAUCUCCAAUCGCCAUAAGUACCAAAUUCGACACUUCAUGAAAUUCCUCCUCGCUUGUAGUCUCCUCAUACACAAUUUUAAGUUUUCUCCAAAUUUCAUAAGCAUUAGAACAAUUUGAAACUCUAUGAAAUUCCUUUUUAUCUAAGGCACAAAAUAAAGCAUUCAUAGCCUUGGAAUUUAAAGACAUCUUUUUCUUAUCCAACUCACUUAAAGCAUUCUUUCUAGGAAUGAGUAAAUCAUCACAAACAACUUCCCAAAUUUCAUAAUCUAAAGCUUGUAAAUAAAUUCUCAUCCUAGUUUUCCAAUAAGGAUAAUCAUUUCCAUCGAAAAAUGGAGGUCUAGUGAUAGAUUGUCCUUCCAUGAUGGUUGAGCUAAUUUGGGUUGCUAUUGAUCUUUAACUCUAGACGAUUAAGUCUACACAAGAGCACCUCGCUCUAAUACCAAAUGAAAUACUAACUCGGCAACCCAAGAGGGGGGUGAAUUGGGAUUUUAAAAAUUAUCCUAGGCAAACCACACACCAAUUUAAUCUAAUGCCUUAAUAAAUUCGAAAACAAUAAAUUCAAUAAAAGCACAAUAAUAAAUGAGUAAGGGAAGAGAAAGCAAACUCAAGGAUUUUUACGUGGUUCGGCAAUCCCCGCCUACGUCCACGCCUCCAAGCACAUCGGGCUUGAGGAUUUCACUAUCCAAGCCUUUCCAAGGCUUCAAAUGUUUACAAUUGACUUCAAGGUGUCAAUGAACCUUUACAACAAGAGAUUAUAUCUCCAAUCUCUUCACCCCAAGUGUUUCUCACACUUGUACUCUCACAAUUUGAUGAGAAAUAAAAAAUACAACAAUGAAUCUCUCUUUAAGAGUGGAUAUACAAAUUGAAGAACAAAGAUGAUUUAAUGAAUGAUGAUUCACGAAGUUGAAGCUCAAUAUAUGUUGUGUGCACUUGUUCUUGCUUGCUUGGAUCAUCAAAAAUGAAUUGGUUUUGAAUUUAUAUAGUUUGAACUCAAAAACUAGCCGUUACUCACAUUCUGAGCGUAUCCGGUUUGCCGGUUAUGGAAUCCGGUAAGCCGGAUUUAUGUUACCGUUAAGGCAAAAUUCAAAAUUAUGCCUAUCCGGCUUGCCGGUUUCUGAAUCCGGUAAGCCGUUUACGUUCUGGAUGCAUUCUGCCCCGUAUCCGGUUUUCCAGUUUUUGUAUCCGGUAAGCCGGAUGCUACAGUAACCUGCUACAGUGCACUAUUUUCUAAAAUUAUAGUUUGACCCCAUAACUUUACAAAACUGUACUAUGGCCUAAAAUGUUAUGAAACUUUGUAAAUAGAUCCAAUUUCAGAACUUCUAAAUAAUGUUUCGUUAAUCCCAAAACUUUUUGAAAUUAUGAUAUAGCCCAAAAAGUCCUUCACCAAAAUUUCAAGCAAUACUUGUUUAUUUCAAAGUUUUCAAAAUUCUUUCAAUUAAACCAUAAACUUUGAAAAACAACCAAUUUCAUAAAAUCAUUUUUCCAUUAAAUAUAAAACAUUUAUAAUGUGAAAAUAAUGAUUUAUUUAAAAAGAAUAUUAAAUAAUUUGAGCUUAAAGAUUUAUCAUUUUUAAUCUUGUUUGUUAUCAUCAAAAUCAACAUUAUGAAAACAUAUAUGUUAACAAUAAUAACCUUUAAGGAUAUUAAUUAUCAACAAAAUUCUCAAGGAUAUUAUCAUUCAUCUUUAUCUUCUUUAUAAUAUCGUCUCAUAAUAAUAAUACUUUCAUGAUAAAAGGAUUAAUAAAAAAAAAAAUUUCCUUUGAAUCCAUCGCUCUCUAAUAUUAAUUUCUCUUCAUCAGCAACCUUCAUCGAUAAUUGAAUCCAUCAUUAGACUCAUCACAGAGAAAGAGAGUGAGAGAGGGGAAGAAGAAAUGAGAAAAAAAAAAUGUUUACAAUUUUAUAGUGUAUUCACAAAAUAAGAAUCGAAAUUAGCUGGAAACAUAAUGAGUUAGAAUUAGAAUAGAUAAAAUCGAAAUGAGAAAUUGGAAUAAGAAUAAAUAAUUUAUUAAUGAGCUAUAUUAUCAUUUAUGUGUUUACUUUAUCUUAAAAUCAAAAUUGAAAUGAGUUAAAUUGUAACAAAUUACUAUAAAAUCUUUAAUUAAUUUUUAUCAUAAUUAUUAUUUUAUAUUUUAAUUAUUGUGAUUAUUAUUAUUAUUCAAAAAUUAAUUAUUAAUAAUAGUUAUUGUUAAUUAUUAUGAACAAAAAUUUAACUAAAAAAUUAUUAUUAAUUAUUGUUAAUAGAUUAAAUAAUUAUAAUACUUUUUAUUAUUUUAUUAAUAAUUAUUAUAAUAAUCCAUUUAAAUUAUAAUUAUAUUUAUAAUUAUAAUAAUUAUAAUUAUAAUCCUUUAUAAUAAUUAUAUUUUAUUAUAAUUAACUAUAAUUUUAUUAUAAUUAUAAUCCUUUUAAUAAUAAUUAUAUUUUAUUUAAAUUGAGGGUAUUUUGGAAAUUGAAAAAUUGUAAGAGAUGACUUUGAUACUAUAAAGAUUUUAAUAAAAUAAAAUAAAGUGCAAGAGGCUCAACGAAAUAUAAUACUUAUGGAUAAAUUUUGAAAAACAUAAAGCGCAAGAGACUCAACAAUAUUUUACAGUAACAAUUCGGCUCCACUAAUUAAACCAGAUCCGAGGGUCAAAAAUUAAAACAUCUGGAGUCCUUUUGUGGAUUUAAUUGGGCUCCAUAAUUAACCAGAUCCUAGGGUCAAAACUUAAAGUCAAUUGGAGUCCACAGAUCCUAGGGUCAAAACUUAAAGUCAAUUGGAGUCCCCUGAUCCUAGGGUCAAAACUUAAAGCAACUGGAAUCCUCUUGUGACUUUUCUAAUUAAACCAUCCUAGGGUCAAAAAUUAAAGCAACAGGAAUCCCCUUGUGACUUUUUUAAUUAAACCAGAUCCUAGGGUCACAAAUUAAAGCAUCUGUUUGUCAAAAACAAAAUAAAAAUUAAAGCAUCUGAGAGUCCCAUUUUCCCUAUAUAAACUCUCGCAUUUUUUUCUUUCUUGAUUCACAAACUUGCUUCUUAAUUCAAUUCAGUGUAUUAGCAGCUAGUAAAUUAAUUGACGUUCCGAACUCUUUUAAAAGUCUUGCUGCCCCUUAUUAACUAGCAUUUUCUAGUGGAAGAGAGAUUUGCAGCAGAAAGGGUAGCAAAGAAAUGGAAUUGCUGGGGCGUGAUCCUCGUCAAAGGUAUGAAUUAAUUCUCUUCUCUUCUCUUCUCUCAAUGAUAUAUAAGUCAUUUGCUUAAUUUCAAUAGUAUCCUUUUGAUUUCAUUACAAAAUUUGGGUUUCUAAGUGGCGAGAUAAAUGCAUUAAUUCAUAAUAGAGAAUACUACAUUUUGCAGGUCAUACGCUAUGACUAACAUGUCCAGCAAUAUAACCCAUGUACAUCGACCGACUAUUAUUGGGUAAGCAACUACUUUCAUUCUAUAAUUUAAAUUAUUUUCAGUGUCAUAUAUUUAGGUUAUUUUCGCUAUUAUUAUUAUCAGUAUAGACUUAAAUUAUAGACUUAUUUUCACCAUUAGAAUUAGAGACUUAUUUUAUAAUAUCCAUAAUUUGCUUAAUUUAAAUUAUUUUCUCUAUUAGAUAUUUAUGGGAAAGAAUAAGAAGUUGUGCUUUACACUAAUGGACAUAGAUCUUGUUUGUAUGUAUACGAUGCAACACCGCGAUAUAAAGCCAUGAUUUGUUUCAUCUUGCAUCAAAAUUGGCACAAGCCAUAGCUUUGUGAUCCAGGCUUUAGGCCAUAGCCCAAGAUGAUAUUUAUAACAGACAAUAUCACAUAUUCCUCAUCAUUUAUAUUACUUUGAUGUAACACUUUGUUAUCAAAUUAAGUAAUUAUAUCUUGUUUUGAUGGUUUUGCAGUGUACAAAAUUUCUCAUCACCAUCGGCACCGUACCACACACUCUUUGUAUUUCUAAUUCCAUUGCUUGUCGGAGUUAUUGAUAUUAAUAAUGUUCAAGAUAAAAAUAAAUCCUUGAUCGAGACACACCCGAUGAAUAUGUGUCCAUUUCUAUUGGCUCUACUCAUCUACGUCUUUGCAUAUUUUGCUGCCAUAAUAUCAGAGCGUCAAAUCUUCAAAGCAACUGUUGUGAUCUCAGGAUCUCUUUGCUCAGUCUCAUUGGUCUCCAUUAUUCUGCCACACCCAUAUGGAUAUUUCAGUUUCAUUAUAUGGGUUUUUCUUCUUCUUCUUGUUGCUUAUCACAAGAGCCUUCAUAAGAAGAUUUGGCAAUUUUGGAAUAGAUUUGGAGGAAACAACCAGCAAUUAUUGCCGAUAUACGUACCAGUAAGAGAGCGGCACACGCCAUAAAUUGCCAUCUCAAAUAGAAAAACCUAUACCACCUAAAAAGGCCAAUAAUAAUAUGGCACUGCCGAAGACCUGAUAUAAGCCAAGUCUACUGCAGGGGGCCGGGCCAGUAAUAUUCCUUCGGUGGUAGUCCAUUGAAGUAGAAAUGUGAUUGCUCAUAGAUUAGUUAAAUGUAUAUGCUGUUAGCAAACCGAGCGGUGCAAUUUGGUUGGACGAAAUUCCAACUCAUGUACAUCUUUUCAAUUUAAGUGUUUAAUAGAAGUUUUCAAUUUUUUUUUUCAAAAAAAAAAAAGUAAUCCUUCAUAGCUAUUUAUCAAACGUAUAGUUUUGAGAUUCUCAUGGACUUAUUAUUACACAAAUACCCAUAUUUUAGGAAAUUAGAAGUAUGAAAAAUUGGGCUUUUUCUACAGCUUUAUUAUUAAUAGUUUGUUGUAGGUGUAUUUAGUGACAAAUUGUUUGCUACAAAUUACAGUUGUCUUAUGCAUAUUUGAUGAAAAAAGCACUAAUAAAAUAAUGUUUGUUAGUCACUCAUCUCUAUUGAUCUUAUUUUGAAACAUUUUCGAUAAAAACAAGCUUUGAUAGAAGACAUAUAAGAUAAGACAUUGGUUGAUCUUUAUCAUUCAUCUAAACGAUUACUCCACCUGUCAAGUUUCACUAUUUAAGCUUUGAAUAUAAUUGACUUGUGAUGUAAUCCUAGACAGCCAUAUUACUCCACCCUUCUAGUUUUACCAUUUUGUCCUUUAAAUAUUUUUUACUUAAUAAGUAAUCCUUGAUAGCUAUUUAUCAAACUUAUGGCAUUGAGAUCCACAUGGGCUUAUCAUUAUAGAAUUACCCAUAUUUUAGGAUCAAAAGAAAUUAGAAGCAUGAAAAAUUAGGCAUUUUCUAUCACCUUAUUAUUAAUAGAUUGUUGUAGGUGUAUUUAGUGAAAAAUUGGUUGCCACAAAUUACAAUUCUCAUAUGCGUAUUUGAUGAAAAAAGCACUAAUAAAAUAAUACUUGUUAGUUUACUUUUUAUUUUUUAUUUUUUGAUGAUUUGGUUUUAAAAAGAAUGUUUAAAUCAUGAAAGAAUCCUAUUGUCAAAAGGUACUUUAAUCAAAAUAAAUCAAAGCCAUCCAUUUAUCUUUUUGAAGGUAACUAUAGAAGCUUAUGAACAUAAUUAGAAUAUGAAGUUUUGAAUCGGACAGGUGUUUGAAAAUUUAGCACUAUCAGAAGGUUUUCUGUGAAAGAAUAAAAACUAAAAAUGAUAGUGAUAACUGACGAAAUACAUAUAUAACUUCCUAAUAAACUCAAAUCCGAAUACGUCCUCUCAUUUCUCUCAUCGUCAAGCUCCCAAAAUUCACUCCAUGCAGCUUUGUCGAGAAUCAUAAACAAGUUUUUGGCGAACAAACCGAGUUAUGACAUUUGCCUGCUCAGUAUCCUUGACCUGAUUAUAUAGACAACCGAACAAAUUUACUCAAGUUUAAUCCUGAGAGUUUCAAAACAAUGAAAAAGAUGAUAUAUAGCCAAGGGUUCAGGUUCCACAGCUUCUGGAAAGUCUUGGCAACAGAAUCUCCAAGCAACAGCUUAUCACAUCUAAUUUAAGCAAUAACACGGGCAGCCAUCAAAUCCUCAAAUUUCCCAGCAGCAGCUAUACGCAAGCAUGCAUACGGCUCUCACUUGAUAGCACACCAAAAUGCACAAAAGGCAAAGAAGCUAACGGCCUUCAACCAUUAAACUUAUUCAAACGUACAUGAAUUGACAUGUGGCCACAAUAAUUAUUGCAUGCCUUUUAAAAUUCAAUGCUUCUUUUGAGUUUUAACCACAAGAAUUACUGUAGGUUAGCCCAAUGGCUUUCUAACAAUACCAGCUACAACCUAAUUUCAAAAAAAAAAAAAAAUUGCGAAUCACCUUUUAGCUCACCAUUGUCUACACUUUAUAUGGAUUUUCUGCCAACUGCUUCCUGGAAGAGGUUUCAUUAUAUUUUUCAAAAAUGAUGUCAGAAGAAACUUUUUCCUGAGCUCUGUUUCUGUUUAUUCGUUAGGUAGUACAUAUGCCGCAAAGAUAUCAAUGCAAACAGAUGGAAAUAAAAUAUUAGAAACUUUUACAUAUUUCUGCUAUAGAAUUUCUUUGAAAUACUUUAUGCUUUUGGAUUAGAGAACAAACAACGACAGAGUAGGAGAAGAAAUCACCUGAGGCAGAGGAUGAUUGUAAUUGCAAAUGACAAAACACUCAAGCUCCCAAAAUUUGCUCACACAGAAAACUAUUUUAUUAUCCUUGCUAGUAUCCUUGUCACCACACCAGUUAUGAACGAAAAAACUGAAUUCUGACGUUUGCCUAAAUAAGCUGCUGAGUAUCCUCAGCCUGAUUACAUGGAUAGUUGAAACAACUUUACUAAAGUUUAAUCCUAACAGUGUCAAAACAGUGUGAAAGAUGAUAUAGUUGAUAACAAAAACAUGAGGAGUUUCUUGGCAAAAGCAUGGGCAGCCAUCAAUUCCGAAAAUUUCCCAGCAGCAGCUUAAUGCAAUCAUACAUACAGCUGUCGCUUGAUAGGACCAAAAGAAAAAGAAGCUAACAAUGUCCAACCGUGAAAAUUCCUUUCUUGUGUUUUGUUUCUGUUUGAUCUUGUAACAGAUGGAAGUAAAAUUUCCUGAUUCAGAUAAAUCAGCCAAAACACAUACUCUGUAGAAUUAACUGAGUUCAAGCUUUCACUAAAAAGCUUCUCUUCUCCCUACUCCUGCUUGCUGCCUGCUUCACAUGUACAUUUAGCACCAAAGAAAUUGAGAAUUUAUCAAUCAACUGGACAAAAAUGGAGACUUGUGAAUCAGGCGCUGGUUCAAAGAAGGCAGAAAAACUGCUGAUAAUUUACCUCCUUUUGCAUUAAUCCCCAAUCUAGCACCAUUCUCACUCUUCAUCACUUGCUCUGCAAUUGUCAAAAAUGAUUCGGUUCAAAAUUAUCCUACAUUCAAUGACAGACAAAAAGGAGAGAUUACCAUCAUUACACCCAUACCAAAAUUUUAGAAACUGUUGCAUAUAUUCCUAAUAUAGAAUUUGAUUAAAAAUAGUUUAUGGUCCUUAAUUAGAUAGCAGAUAACAAAAAUGCAGAAGAAGAAAUUACCUUUGGCUGAGGAUGAUCAUAAUUGCAGUGCAACUGGUUGAGAAUUUUGUCAAUUGCUGCCAUGAAAUGGUUUCAUUUCCUUUGGGUUCUGUCAUGGGCAAUCCUUCCACUAGUAAGCUUCUCAUUUCAUUUCCUGCCCUGCUUCCUGCAUCAUAUGAUACAUUAGAUGACAAUACAUGUAAUCUGUGGUCACUUGACCUGCAAAAGAAUUGCUUGUAUUGCACUAAUAAUCUUUACAGUAACGUCAUCAUAUCACAAAUUAAAAAUUGUAUAUUCAUAGGAUAUGAAAAUCAGAAUAUUAGAAAAUAUGUAUUGCAGAUUUUGAUUCAAAAUGAAAUUUAUGCUUCUUAAUUAGAUUAAAAAUAACAGCAAAGCAAAUCAAAGUAAGAGAAUAAAUUACUUGUCAACGCCCAAUCUCAAGGUUGGGAAUGUGAGAUAUCUUAGGCCAGUCUUCUCCUUCCCCCCUUUUGUAACGUUCUACCAGAAUAUCACAAUCCCACCCAAUGCGCAAUUCCUUCAAUGUUGUCCUUUGAUGAAUGUGGUCGGGCAGUGCCUUUAAUUUGGGGCAACUGAAAACUUCCAAGGAAGAAAGACAUGGCAUGAUGUUGAUGAAGGCGUCUCCCGUUCUUAUAAUCCCAUAAUCCCACUCGUCCAAUUCCUCCAAUCUCCCUUGAUCCCUUGUGCAGAAAAUUGUCAAUAAUGGCAAUACAUGCAAUCUGUGGCAAAUUAAGCUUCGUUUUUUUGUUGUCCUGACCUCGAAAGGUUAUUGUUCAACUCCAACGCCAAACUAAAUGUAGGUCACUUGUCCUGCAAAAGAAUUACUCAUAUUGCAUUAAUAAUCUUUUACAGUAACGUUACCUAUCUCACAAAUUAAAAAUCGUAGGAUGUGAAAAUCAGAAUUUUAGAAAGUAUGUACUGCAGAUUUCUGAUAUAGAGUUUGAUUCAAAAUGCUAUUUACGCAAUUACGCUUCUUAAUUAGAUAAAAAACAACAAAGCAAAUCAGACUAAGAGAAGAAAUUACUUGUCAAUGCCAAAUCUCAAAUGCGCAAAUAAUUAAUAUAUAUGUUGGGAAUGUCUGAUAUCUUAGGCCAAUCUUCCCCCUCCCCUUGCGGUAACGUUCUUCCAGAAGGUCACACCCCCAAAUGCUCAAUCCCUUCAAUGUUGUCGUUUGAUGAAUGUGGUCGGGCAGUGCCUUUAAUUUGGGGCAAACAGCAAUUGCCAAGGAAGAAAGACGUGGCAUGAUGUCGAUGAAGGGGUGUCCCGUUCUUGUAAUCCCAUAAUCCCACUCCUCCAAUUCCGGCAAAUCCUCAAUGAAAAGUGAUUGCAAUUUGGGGAAGGCAAUAAUAACCGAUGAAGAUGAAGAUGAGUCAUGAUGAUCACUUUCUAUCCCCAAAAUUUCAUUACCCACUCUUUUCACACUCUUCAUGUCCGAUAUAUAGAGCUUUUCAAGGGAUGGCAAUUUUCCCAAAGGAGGCAGCUGCUCACAAUUUUCGCACAAAUGGAGAUUUAAACUCCUUAGAUUGGUUAAUGACAUCAUCCAGCUGGGGGAAACAGUGUUGCCUCCGUAUCCCUAUAAAUAAUUCCUUCAAAUUCAAAGGUGGUUGCAAGGCUUCAAGAAGAAGUUGAUCGUGCUCGUUAUUCCUCCUUCCUCCGCUUUCCUUCACAUCAAACCAAAGUCUCAAACAAGAGAGGUAUUUCUUUUUGUCAAGUUUUAAUCUCUUAGCCUCAUCCACAUCUGACACAUUUCCCAAUCUACGUAUGCCACAUACUUGGAGGAGUUCCAAGUUUUUAAGAGAUUCAAGCCUACAUCCUUUGCGACCAUCGACACAUUCUCCUCCACUCACAUGGAACUCAUCCAAUGUCCGAAGACUCGGUAAUCUCGCAAUCCCAGCCGGCAUGUGCCCUAAGGAAUCAGUUCUCUCAUUUAGUAAAUGCUUCAUGUUUAUUAACUUCCCAAUUCCUUGAGGUAAUGCUUUAAGAUUAAUACAGUAACUAAUAUCUAACUUUUCUAGAUUAUAUAACCCACACAACGUCUCAGGAAGUUUCCUUAUAAGCGUCACAGAAGACAAAUUAAGGUAUCUUAAAUGUACCAGCUUUUCUAUAUUUCUUGGAAUAUCUAGAAUGGAAGAACACAGUGUGGCAGACCAGUUUCCUAUAUCUAAUGCCCUCAAACUUGUCAAUUUCCCAAACAAUUCUUUUAGCAUCUUACCAUUUAACGAUGAAUUGUCAAGCAUGUUACCACUAAUAAAGAGGCUACGCAUUCUUUUAAUUCUACAAGUGGAGACAGGAAAUGAAGCUCCUAGACCAAUAACUAACAUUAAAUGACAAACCUUCUCAUCCAAAGAGUUUAUGGCGUUUGGUUCUUUGCUACCAUUAAUUUCCAUCGAAGAACAUUCAUUUUGACUUACAAAUUGGGCAAAAUUGUGUACUAUAUCAUGCAUCUUGCACGCUACAAUAAGAUUAUCAUGAUCUCUCUUAAACUCUUGAAAGAAAGAGCGAGUGGCUAAGAUGUUAAAAUACUCUUCACCAAUUAUGUCCAUCUCUUCAUCUUGUUCUGCACUAAAGUAACCUUGAGCCAUCCACAUGCUAAUUAGUUUCUCUUUCAUUAUAUUGAAGUCCUUUGGAAAGACAGCACAAUAUGAAAAACACCUUUUCACUCUGGACGGCAAAUCAUUAUAACUCAACAACAGAGGAGAUAGAACACCUUUCUCAAUCUCUUCGAUUUUCCACAAAUCAUUAUUUAAGAUUCUACACCACUCUUCUUCGGUUUUUUUGGAACGCAUGAGACUCCCUAUUAACUUUGCUGCAAGAGGCAAACCUUUGCAUCUACUUGCAAUUUGUUGCCCAAUUUGCUCUAAUUUUUCACAUUCUUCAAUGGCCCGACCAUGAAAUGCUAUCCGAUUAAACAAUAACCAACAUUCCUCUUCAACCAAUUCUUUGAUGGAGAUAAUAUCUAAAGAUCCCAUCAUGCACGCAACUGACUCUUUACGUGUGGUAACUAAAAUUUUACUUCCAUGGAGACCAUUCUUUAGACAAUGGUAGAAUGGUUCCCAUUUCAUGUAAUUUCCAUCCCACACGUCAUCUAAGACAAGAAGAAAGCUCUUCCCUGCAAUGGAUUCAUAAAUAUGUCUAAGAAGAGAUUGGAAUUCACCUAAAUGAGAUUCAUGACCAUCCAAAGCUUCGACCAUUGCUUUGGCAACCCUGAACUCUUCAAAAGUUUCUGACACACACACCCAUAGAAUUUUAUCGAACUUUCUUAAAUAUAGGCAUGGGGAUGCAAUUACUUAUUUGGAUGUUUCUAUUUUGGAUAGUAUUCUCGAAGGCAGGGUGCUUAAUGUAGGAUAUAUUAUUGUUCAACAUAUGCUUAGCACUCCGUGUAUAGGCAAACAUUCCUUACCUUUUGGUAGCAUUAUCACCCGGAUUCUUAAACAUUUUUUAGGUCAUAUUACUGAACCACUCUCUUUCGCACUAAGGAAUUAGGAGACAAUGCUAUAGCAAAUUUAGGGUUUGUAUAGAUGGAAGAUCAGUGGGUUAAAGAUAUGAGGUACAAUGGCAAGAUUGUUGAACUAGCUCCUUCAGAUCAUCAUAUCUUCAACGAUAUACUUUCACCAGAAGAACUCAUUGACCUCAGUAAUCCAUAGCGUUAGCAACCUCCACCUUCAAAAGAUCCUUCACAUUCUGGUCCAGCCGCUCCUAAUCAUCCAAAGCAGUAGCUAUUGGUUGAAGUGCAUUCCAUUUCCGAGCAACAAAGCCAACUUCAAUCCCUGUUUGAGGCCUUUCAAAUUCACUCCAUUUCUGAGCAGCAAUGUCUCUUUGAUUAGCAGCAGUGCUUAUUUGAUGAACAACAACAACUCUUUGCUCAACAAAAAUAUAUUUUUAACAACCAGCAGCAACUUUUCACUACUCUUAUGUUUCCACCACCAUCUUCCUCCUGACAUCCGCCAUCUCCGUGGUGUCCUCUCAUUUUUUAUUUUGUUUAUAGUUCUCUGUUUUAUUUUGCACCUGCAUUAUCAUGUACAUUAACUAUGUGUGUUUUAACUAUAAUUUAAGGAUUCUUGUUUGAUAUUUAGAUGCUUUGUUUUGGAUACUAUUUCUGGUUUCUUAAAUGCUUUGAAUAUUUGGUUAUUCAUUAUAGGUUUCUUGAUUAACAAUUAUGAAGUUAUUUUUUAUCUUAGCAUGAUUUGAUAAGUAAUUUUGAUGAUGAAAGGGGAAAAGUAGCAUGUAUUUUAAUCUUAAAGUAUUGAUGCAUGAUUUUAAAAUAUUUAAGGGGAGCUUACAAUUGUUGUAGAUCAUGUAUUCAGGGAGAGUUUACAUUUGAUUUAUAUGUUGAAUCAUGUAUGCUUUAUAUUAAAGGAGAGUAUAAAUAUCAAAAUACAUGAGAUGUUUGUCAUCAUUAAUAAGGGGGAGAUUGUUAGCCUAAUAAGGUAUAUAAGUUGUAAUUUUGAUGAUAACAAAUACGUGUCUUAAGUAAUUUGUUUCUUGAAGGAAAAAAUUUAUUCAAGUGAAAUCAAGCUCAAAACACUCAAUGAACAAUGGCUCGAUCAAGAACAAGUAUUAGCUCAAUGAAAUUAUUAUUGCGACAAUUCUUGUAAAAAUGGUAUGAUUUAAUAUAUGCGUGGUUUAGCAUUUGAGAAGCUCAAGUAUUUAUUUUAUAAGUAAUCAUUUUUUUCAUAAACCAAAAGCUUUAUAAUCAUAAGACAAGUAUUUUAUAGAUUUGGGUAUUUUUCAAGUUUUGGACUAAAUUGAAAAGGUUUUGAAAACUUUGAGUAUUAUGUUAAAAAUUCUGAAAACUUUGAGUAUUAUGUUAAAAAUUCUGAAAUGAACCUUUUUGAAAAGUUUUAUAAAAGUUUUGGGCCACAACAUAAUUUCAUAGAGCUUUUAGAAUAACUAGUAUUAUCUUGAAAUCUGAAAAUGGACAUGUUUGCAAAGUUUUAUGAAAAUUUGGACCAUAAUCAAAUUACAUAAAGUUAUAGGUAAAACAAUAAUUUUGAAAAGUAGUGUUACUGUAGAAAAAUUCAAAUUGUAACGAUAACUUGCACUGUACUAAGCUGCGAUCCGGCUAUUUAAUAAGCUAGCUGGCAAAACUUCAAAUGUCAAUAAUGUCUAGUUUUCUUUCAAAUUUAAUAACUUUUGCAAGUAAGAACAAGUGCAUACAACAUAUUUUGAGUUUCCAUUUCAUAAAUCAUCAUAUAGUAAAUCAUUAUUGUGCUACUACUUGUAUAUUGACUCUAAAAUAGAGUAUUUGUUGUGAUCUUUAAUUUCAUUAUUAAACUUGUCAGUGUUCAAGUGUGACAAACACUUGGGUGAAGAAAUUGGGGAAUAAUCUUUUGUUGUAAAGGUUCGUUGAUACCUUGGAAGUCAAUUCUAAAACUCUUGAAACCUUGGGAGACUUGAAUACUGAAAUCCUCAAGCUUGGUUUGCUUGGAGGCGUGAGCGUAGGCGGGAAUUGUCGAACCACGUAAAAAUAUCUGAGUUUGCUCUCUCUUCCCUUACUCUUUUAUUUUUUAGCAUUGUUAAAUUUAUUAUUUUUUAUUCUAUUAAGGCAUUAGAUUAAAUUGUUGUAUGGUUUGUUUAGUCUAAGUUUUAAAAGCCCAAUUGACCUCCCUCUUGGUUUGCAUAGCUAGUAUUUCAAAAUUAAGGUACAAUAAGUGAAAAAGACUCCAAAGAAGUCUCCAACAAAGACUACAAGAACGUCUCCUAAAAUAAAAAUAGCCCAAUAAAGUAAAACAGCGGAACCUUAUAUUAUCCAUGUUGGAGUUAAGCCUCCUCCUCCAAUGAAGGUAAAGGUGAUGAAACCAAAUGCCAAUAGAAAGCUGGUAUUGAGGAAGAAUGAACACUAGAUUAGCUACAUAGGAGAGAAAGAACACCGGUCAAACCAUUAAUAUGUUUUUCCUAGUAAUUGACAGUUUUCCUAAUUAAGAGUUAUUGAUCGAACAUGAUGAAUCAAUUUUUAUUUACAUAUUGAAAACACUGUUGAAUAAGGUUGUUUGUCAAGUGAUCAUUGAUUUUAGUUAUCAGAGAAAUAAAGUGAUUGAGCAAUAGCAAAGUAAGUCAUUAUUUUGAAAUAAUUAUUGUUUGAUUUAACAUUUUUAAGUAAGUCACUAUCUUUAGAACAUUAAUAAUAAUUUAUUAGUCUUAGAUGUAUUGUCACAUAGACACUUACAUAAAGUCAUGGAGAAUGAUGGAAAGUCAUUUCCUGUGGGAUUUAUUCAAGUUAUGAUCAGUUCACUCAAUUCAACAGAGGAGGCUAUAACUACAAAGUCUCACUAUCUAUUUGAACUGCUAAAAGCAACUCUAAUUGAACAGUUGAUAUUAAUCCAUACAAGCCAGGAUAAGGACUUCUAUCCUUAUAUUUUCUAUAUAUUAACAUGUAAUAAAUUCAGAAAUUAUAGAAUAAAGCAGUUCUUUUAUAUGUUGACAUUAUUAUUUAAUGGUUUUAUUCUUGUUGUUGUAGCAAUCAUUGGGUGUUGGUUGCAAUCGAUAUACUGGCCUUCAUUGUCUAUUAUUUUGAUUUAGUAUUUACACAAAAAGUGAAUUGUCAUUCAGAGCUAAUAGAGCAGUUAAGUUUUUCCAUACUUAUAUUUUAGUAAUUUAUAUAGUUGGAUAAUAAAUUUUAGUAUAUUGAUCUUUAUAUUCACUGCAUGCUUUCAUGUUCAGAUGAGUUAGGAUGUAUCAUGCAACAAAGCAAAAGCCUAAGCUGAACUUGAAGUGGAUGUUAGUCCAAGUAAGGAUAUAAGUGAUAUGUUCAUUUUGUCUAAAUGUGGGUAGUUUGUUAUAAAGUAUAUGUAAGAGAUUGUGCAAAAUCCAAACAUAUUGGAGCAAAAUGUAAGCUUCAAACCUCUGCUUUGUUAGUUAUUUUAAUUAUGAACAUUUCGUUUAACGCAUAAUUUUCUUUCUUAUUUUUUGUAAUUGAAGUUUAAACGACUAAUUGAGUACUUGGAUGAGGAUAUUCUAAAGGUUUGUGAUGAGCAAGCUGCAUAUGUGGCUAACUUGAUCACUAGUUUAAGAAAAUAGUUAACUAUCACUUGUUUGUUCAUGUUUUAUAAUUAAAGAUUCUUGAUGAGUGGACUGCGUAUGAUGUAGUGCUCCGUUUGUUGUUCUUUUAUUACUUUCAAGAAUGUACCUUUGUUGGUUGAUUUUAUUGGAAUUGAUCGUAAGUCUGAUGGCUUCUUAUUGCUACUGUUACUCAAGACAUUGCAAAUAGCCAUGGUUCUCUUGAUUUUUCUUAAGUUACAUUUGCCUUUUUUUUUUUUGUUGUUGUAGUUCAAGCCGUUCAAGAUAGCAAUGUUGUUGCUGCUUCUUAUUCUAGUUCAUUUGUCUUAUUAAUUAUUACUCAAGUUGUUGUGAUAAACAAGUUGUAGUUUUCUUAGUUUGGAAGUGGUUUUUGCUACUAUUGUGCUAUUGGAACUAUAGUUGAUGAAUUUGGCUGUUGAAAAAGUUUGUUUAUUGAAUGUUGAGUGUUAACUGUUGAAUGAAGCCUAACAACAAUUGUUAAAUAUAGAAUUAUUCGGUUCUGUUUCCAACAUUUGUUCCAUUAUUAUUGUUGACAAUUGUUGUUUAUUGGUUUUAAUUUUAGGCUAUUGGUAAUUGUAACAAUGAAAAUCUAUUAUUUUUAAAAAAUUUCCAAACUAUUGACACCAAUUUAGCAUAUGUUAAUAUUAAUAUUCUUGAAUCACAACAUAAACAAUAUUAGUGCAUCAAAACCUACUUCAUACUAAAGAAUCACUAUCUGCGUGACUGUAUAGAAUCACAAUUAUUUUGAUAUUAUUGAAUCACAAUUUGUUUGCCAUUAUAACAUCAAAAUCUAUGUGAUGUUUAACUGUUAGCAUUUCUUUAAUACUAAGGUGUUGCGGAAUUACUGAUACAAAAGAUAUGUGUCAAUAAGUUUCUUGCACCCCAUUUAGUGACACUAAACUCAGUGUCAAUAAAGAAUGUUACGGAUACCAAAAUAGUAUAAGAGAAAGUCAUUUUUUUACUAGUACACAACAUAAAAAUUUACAUGGAGGACUCCUAUACUGGAGAAAAACUACAGCCGCUAAUGAGAGAAAAAUCUACUAUGUAAAAAAUUAUUACAAUCACUGUAAUAUUUUCCUCACACCCAAUCUCUCAAUAGGCUUACCGUUUCUCUCACACUAAAAACUGUUUACUUGCAAAAAAAACUAAUUAUUGAGUUAUGCAAAUAAGUGAACCUAACCUACCAAUAUAUAGUGAUUAUUUUUUGUAGAAGUAUUUCUUUUCUUAUACUAGUUGUAUUCCUCCUCGAGUUAAGUCGCAAAGAGGAAAUUACUUAUUUUUUAAAUAGGAGUUUCCUGAAUAAGAAAAAUUAUUAAAUAAGAAAAGCGUAGGAAAUAUCUUAAUUUAGGAUUUACAAAUUCUCAUUAAAAAAGGAGACAUAUUUCCUAACAUAUAUGUAUACAUGGUCCUUACAUCCUUGAUUGUAGAUGUCUUUUCUUGCAUUAUAAAAAUAUCUAUUUUCUCUCCUCUCACUUCUAAUGUUAAAAUGUCUAUUGUGUCUCUUCUCUUGUCAAAUUCUUCUUUUUCCUUAAAAAUCUUUCUACAGUUUUUGUGAAAUUUUGUAGCAAUUAUUUUUUAUCCGGGAUCUUAAAGUGCGGGAAAAGUCCGAGAAAUCUUUAAAAUUGCGAGGUUUUAAAGGCUUAUAACUUGAAGCGUUUAAACCACACGGUUUAUGCGUUUUCCCGGACGUUCCCGCACUUUAUAAUUCUGAAUUACAACAUUUCUAUGUAUGUAUGUAUGUAUGUAUGUAUGUAUAUUGAGAAAUAACUUCUUAGGUUGUUUCUAUUAUUUUUGAUGUGGUUAUACAUAUGAUCUGCAUAUGCUGAGAUAUCUAAUUAUAGAAGUUACUGGAAAAUUAGUACUCAGAUUAUUUGAUUCAAAUUGUUUGAUGAUUUCUUCAUUAAUCUAGGGGUUUUAAUAAAGAAGUUUUAAAAAUCUUGAAGUGCAAUUUUUGAAUGGUUUGCUAUCCAUCACUUUGGUAUGAUACUAAUUGAAGAUGUUCAAGAAUUAGUUAUGCAUUUCUAAGUAAAUUAACAUUCUAAUAAUCCACAAAAUUUAUAUACUUUUAUUUUUAUAUAUAAAUAUGAUAUUAAAUUUUACAAUAAACCUGGAAAAAUUGGAACUCCUGUUGAAGGAAUCCAUUUAUUGCCUGAAAUGAAUUUUUUUACUGUGAAGUUUUCUGCUUCCAAGCGCUUUAUUAUUCUAAAUCCUUUCCAACGGACCCUACCAGUAGUUUUAGAGCCACGUCCUCUGUUAUUGUAUUCAGCAUAGUAAAUGGUGUCCACGCUCUGUCCUUGCCAUUCAAGCCAACCUUCAGGGUCAAUUAUUUCAUCAAGAAAAGUUUGCAAGAUUACUGUUCUUGAAUAAUUUCUCCACGGUCGUCCCAUGUAUGUCUUGAUUGAUGUUCUGUUCUCAGAGAAGUCUUCUGCAGCAGUUAUGGUGCAAUUAUGAAUGAUUAUUCCUCCAUUUCCCUCAGGUUUUUCUCUUCCUUCGGCCGUGAUUGUCUUUACAUUCCCACCAAGGAAACGAACGUAGAUAUUACAAUUUUGGAACACUGCACUUGCGUCUCCGAAUAUAAAAUCAAUUGUACCAUAGAUAUCACACUCUCGAUAGAACUGUUUAUUGCUUUUUGCGUAAAGGGUGUCCUGAUACCCAUCAAGCUUGCACCUGUAGAAGGCAGAGUCCACUUCACUUACUAAUUCUACUGCCUGGCCUGUUUCCUGGUCUGGUCCGGCUGUGUUCUCAAAUGUUAUAUUCAUUGCCACAAAUCCAGCCCCUUUAAUCGCUGCAUUAAUUUGAAAAACAAUACUGAUUAAUAUAUGUUAGAAUAUAAAAACCAGAUUUACGGUUCUUAUUUUUAUUUGUUGUUCAAUUUAAUGCAUAUAUACUACAGUUCAUGAGGAGAAAAAGAAGAGAAUAAAAUUGCAUAGCUGAUCACUCACCAACAGUAGCAGUCUGGUAAGUGGAUAAAUGAUCCUUUCCGUGGCUUUUAUUCCCGGAAAUGAUUGUGUUGUUGAUUCCAUUGCCAAUUAACACCAAAUUCGUUUUCUCUCUGCCAACCACAACAUAUUCAGUGUAGUUUCCUUCUUUAAUUUUUAUAUAAUAGGGUUUUCGACGGAAUGAAGGAGCAGCCAAGAUAGCAUCUGAAAUUUUUGUGUAGUUGCCUGAGCCAUCUUGUGCCACAAUCACAUCAAUUCUUUGUGUAAUUUGUCCUUGAGACAUAUGGCAACAGAGAGUUAAAAGGAUUAUAAUUAGCCACGCCAUAUAUUAAUCUCCUCAAUAAUCUGCAGCAAAUGUUUCACAAGUUUAGUUGCACUAGUGCCAAUACAAAUUGAAGUAGUGCUACAUAAAAUGAACAGCCAUGCAUAUAUUAAUUAAAAACGCAAAAAUAAAAUAAAAACAAAGAACUACGUGGUCCAGAUUAUAUAUAUAUAUAUAUAAAGGAAUUCGGGACAUUAAAUAGCUUAUACCCAUAAAUAUCGUAGUUGACAGAGCAUGUCUUCGUUCAUGGUUCAUGUCAUAACAAGCGAAAAUUAUAAGCAGUACAUCUUAAAACUUUCUCGUUAUUAAAAAUAUUAUAAAAAUUUAAAAUUUUCGAUUCUACUCCUAUACUAUGUAAAGUGUAUUAUUUUUUCAUUUUGUCAAAUUUUUAACAUAAUAUAAAUAAAAUAACUAUUUUACUCUUAAACUUAAGCUUAUUUUUUAACUUUUCACCUCUUAAACUUAAGCUUAUUUUUUAACUUUUCACCUUUAAUAAUAAAAUAAAAUUAAAAGAUCGAAAAUAACCAAGACCCAACGAAUUAAUAAUCACCCAGGUGGUGUUACCAAAUCUGCCAGCAGGUUUGAUCAGGAACUCACAGGCCUCACUACCUUCCACCAUAGCCUUGUCUUGUUUUUGUUUUUUUAUAAUAUAAACAUCGAAAAAAAAAACUAAAAAACCCAUCACCAUCAUUUUAUAAUACAAAUCUACAAAAAAAAAAAAUUUCUUAAAUGGAAAAAAAAAAACCAUCAACUUGUUACCAAAAUGCAUUUAUUCACAGACGACAUCAACUCCGCUGGCUACCAGCAUCAUCAAAAAACUAGCAUGCGCGGCAAAGCAAGCACACGGAGGAAAGAUGUACGUGGGAAAGAAAGGGAGGAAAUUGUGGUGGUUCCGAUGAGAGAAAGAAAGGGUGGGGCAUAUAGAAAAGAAGGAAAACAAUUUUAUCUACAAUCUACCUCAAAAACAACUUUAAAUAUAAGCAAAUACGGAGAAGUACAUAUAAAGAGUGAGCAUAUAGAAAAGAAAGAAAAAAAAAAAGAAAUAAAAGAAAAAAAUUAUAUAAAAAUAAAAAUUAAUAUGGAUCAAUAGUUUCUUUUGUUGAUGUAAAAAAUCAUCCGAAAAUGAAACAAAUGAUAUAUGGGGGUGGGGGAGCAAAAUUACUGAACUCCAUUGCAAUCAUAAGAGAAUUCAGUGGCAAGACAUAAUGACAUAGACGGUAUAAAAGAUACCACCCGUGACGGAGCAAAUCACUGAACAGUUUCUGAAUUAUUAUGCGUAGGUGGAUACUGGAUACAAAAAUUAAAAUCAAAAUUUGCAAGAAACUCGUUCUGUGAAGUGAAUCUGGUGUAGCUAUUAUGCCUGAUAUUGGAGAGGAGAUGUAUUAUAUAACUAGGUCCAACUUAGGCUUCUUUAUUUAUCGACCAAAAGAAGAGUUGAGAUAUUCAUCAAACCCCUAUUUUUAUUUAGGGUGGGACUAUUUACACUCUAACAUAUACUUUACACACUCUAAUUUUAGUCAACUUUUAUAUUAUUAAAAUAAUCCUAAUAUAAUUUAUUGAAUGAGUGUGUAGAGUAGAGAUGGCCAACGGGCCGUGCCGUGCCGGCCCAGGCCCAUCAAAGGAAGCCCAUGCGUGCUCGUGCUCGUGCCGUGCCGUGCUCACUAUUCAUUUCGUGUCGUGUCGUGCCGUGCCGUGCCCACACGUGCUCGUGCUCGUGCCCACUCGUGCCGUGCCAUGGGCCGUGCCUAAGAAAAAUAGUUCACUAAGCGUUUUUCUUUUUUGCUUUUUUUAAGAACGUAUGCCAAGUUGUUGUCUUUUUUUUUUCAAGCUUAUGUAUUUUUUUUGGAUUCAUAUGCCUUUAUUUUAAUUUAAUAGAAUAAAAAAUUCAAAACUCAAGUCCAUAUUCAAUAAUAAUAAAUUAAUAAUAAUAAGAGAAUGUUAUAUUAGUUGCUAAGUUUGACUUUAUGGUAUUAGAAUUCUUUUUUAGCACUUAACAAUAACAAUAAUAGUAAUUUUUUUAAGGGUUAACUUAAUUGUUAACUUGGAAUUACGUAGAGUCAUAUAUCAUAGUUUAUAAUAAUAUUAAUACAUAUUUAUAAAAUCAUUAUAUUUAUAAUUUUAUUUAUUAAAAUCAUGAUAUCAAUUAUUUAUUUAAUAAAUUAUAAACAUAAAUCAAUUAUAAUUUUUUUGAAACUAAGAAUUAAAUAAAUUUAAAAAACUUGAGCCAAUAAAAGAUAUUAAAAGAUUCAAUUUCAAGUUAUUUAUAAAAUCAUAAAAUUUUAAGUUUACUUUCAUAAAAAAAUGAAACGUGCUUAUUGCGUGCUUUUUCGCGUGCCGUGCUUUGGCUCAUCUCUAAUCGUGCUGUGCUUUUAAGGCCCGCGUGCCUAAAAUCUAAGCUCGGCACGGCCCACGUACAUGCCGUGCCGUGCCGCGUGCUCUACCGAGACGUGCUCGUGCCGUGCCGUGCUGUACGAACACGUGCCGUGCCCGUGCCGUGCCCGUGCCGUGCCUCGUGCCGUCCGGCCCAUUGGCCACCUUUAGUGUAGAGUAAUAGAGUGUUCAAAGUAAAAUUUUGAGGCAAAAAAUCAUGCCUUUUUAUUUAUAAUUUAGAUUUACAUAUUUUGUCACAUAAAUCACACACUCAUUCCGCAUCGAAGUUCACCAAACACUCUUUCCUUAUCUAGCAAAUUACAGAUCUUUUUUGUUUAUUAAAAGGCAAUUAUCAUCUUUCUUUGACAAGACUUCCAUAAUUUCUUUUCACAACACAAAAUUUUCUUUUUUUAAUAAUUAAAUUUAAUUAAUCAGUGUAAUUUUUCAACUGCAAUAUGACUUAGCAAUAACAUAUUUAGGACUUUGCAAUAAUUUUAAAAGAUAAAUUUUGGCUAUUAGAAAAAGAAGAUUCCUUAUAAUUAGAAAAAAAUUAUUGAAAGUUUAUAAUUACAUUAGUAAUUUUUAGGAUUUUUCAAAUUCAAAAAAUAAUGUAGAAUACGAAGAUAGUACAAUUGCAAAAAAUGAAUAGGCUUGAUGAUAAUUUUCUUACAAAACAUAAUAAACACUUUGAGCAAAUAAAAUAGAGGACUAUCGAUAUACAAUAAUUAUAAAAAGUAAUAUAUUUUCCUAAAGUGAAGAGUUUGGCAAAGUGAAGAGUUUGGCAAAUAGUGGAUAAGAUUUUCUUCCAAGCGGCUGAUUUAAUAAAUACUAAGUGAAGAGUUUUAAAAAUUUCAAAACAAGAUCAUAUAAAUUUGGCAAAGGGAAUGAUUUUAAGAGUUUGAAAUGUGUUUAAGAAAAUACAAAAUAAGAAAAUAUUCACAUAUUUAAUAAAUUUAGUGGCUUCUGCGUCAGAGAAAUUGAGGAUAUGGAAUCAAAGUAAAGUUAACCUAUUUAGGGAAUUUUAACCUAAAAUAAUUUUUGAAUAACUUGGGCACCCAAAACAUCCUAAAUUAAUCAGGGUGCAUUGUUUGCUUGGAGAUAUUUUUAUAAUCAAAUUAAUGCAUCGAAAAAUACAUUAGAAAGGAAUACCUAAGAUGAUAGUUUUAGUAACCAAAAAGAAAGAUAAAGGUACAUUGCUUAAGUAUGAGGCAAUUAUACGUUCAAUGUAUACGUAUAACAGAGAGUUGAGUUUUCAAAAUGUUGGUAAUUGUACUACUUUACUACUAAUAUAGAUACUAUCCUCUCGGUAUUUAUAAUCAGAGAGGUGCUGGCGCAUCUUUGAAAUGUUUCAACCGUAUAAUGCCAUUAUAUAAUUUAAUAACUUUUUCAUACUUUAACAAAGUCUAAUAUCCUAAAUUAAUGUAAUAAACAUCAAUUUACUGUUAUCUAACUUGAUAAAUUAAAAAAAUCAUGAAGUUUUUAUUUAAUUUGAACCGCACGCUCAAUUUGAAAGCUAAAAUUAUGGAAAGGAGUACCCCACACGGUACAUGUUGAAGAGAGAGAAUGCAUUGAUUUAAUUGACUCGCGUCAACUUUAUACACUAAAUAAUCGCUCUUUCCAGGAGAUUAUUGCUCUAUUAAUUCUUCGCUUUUUUUUUUCCCUCUUUUUCUUUUCCAUUAACUAACUUUGUUACGUAGACGUCGAAAGGUUUCUACUUUCAAUCGGAAUUUCUCACAAAAGGCUUGUACUUUCAAUCGAAAUUUCAAAAGCAUUUCUUAAAAACGUGGCCAAAUUUUUUCUUUAAAAAAAAAAAAGGGUCGCGGAGGAGAUAUUUUUGGAUAUGUAGACAGCUAAAAUUAGCAUCUUUAUUCUUAAGCUUAAAGCAUUAAUUACAAAUGCGAUGGCAGUUGCCAGAUCCACACAUUUUUAGGGCAUUUUUGAAGACAUUUUUCUGCGCAAUCACCUUUGUUUUGACAAAGUCCAGGAAAAUCAAUGCAUCUACAAUAAUCAUGAUAACAAAAAUUUUUGCAGAUCCUCAUCGCCAACACAUAUAAGAUAUGCGCCUCCUAAGAAUGUUAACAACAGACUUAAUUUCAGAUAACCAAGCGAUAGAUGCAUCUACAAUACAGCGGCUAAUCUGUUAUAUAUACUCCAAGAAUCUCGUAUGCUGUAGGUAACAUGUCAUAAGCCAAGAGUAUAACAAAAAAUUUAGAGUUUUCAUUAGAAAUGUGCUCACUAAUACUAUUAAAUAUGCAAAAUACAUUAUUUAAGAAGUACAAAUGCAAGCUUUUAAAUAAGAACUUCUGUGCAUUUUACAGUGUUGUUUAUUUCUAAAUUCACAUUUUAAAUACACUAACUUUCGCCAAAAAAAAAAAAAAAGAUUAAUGUAUUUUAUGGGAUGGAAAGAGACUAACGAGAUUAUUGCACAAGAUGAGAAUGAUCAGGACUGAGGUCUUCAAAGAAGUUGUCUCUGUAAUGGGCCGAUAAUUUUAUAUCCAAACCUUUGAGGCGAUUAAGCUAGGUGCAAUUAGUACUAAUGAUGGUGAUAUCUUCUGGCCCAAUGUGAGAUUAGAAUGUCAGCUAAGCAAUUGCAUCAUUCACUAAUUAUCAUAACUUUGCAGUUAAUAAUGGCAAAAAAGUCUGGUUAAAAGUCAUAAAUACACGGUUAAUAACGGCCAACAAAUCCAGUCAAUGAAGGCACAAUAUCCGUAUGAAUAUCCAAGUUUGUACUCUUUGUUGCAGUACAUAUUCUAAUAACUGUUUGCUUCCUCUCAUUAUUAGUCCUUGGGGUUGGGGGGGAAAAACUCUAUGGUCUCACUUGAAUUAUCCAUAGAUUUUCCUAAUUUCUUUGUUUUAAUAUCUCAUUAUUAGUCCUUGUUGCAAUGCACAUCUUUUGGCUAAAUUUGUCCUUUGUCUCUUAAUUGAUUUCUUGAAGCAAUUUAUGAUAUAUGAAGCAAUCGCUAAUGUUUAGGGAAUGAAAUAGGAUGACCAAGAUAAAGGUGUUUGCUCAUACAUUAUCGUGCUCUCCUCAAAGUAAAAGUGAGCAAAUGGCUGAGCAGAUCACCUCGACCAGGAUGUUAUUGGUCACCUCGACCAGAAUUUUAUUAGUCACCUCGACCAGAAUAAUAUGUGGUAAUCUCGAGCAUUUCAUCUCGACCAGGAUGUUUUUGGUCACCUCGACCAGAAUAAUAUGUGGUGACCUCGAACACAUCACCUUGACUAGGAUGUUAUUGGUCACCUCGACCAGAAUAAUAUGUGGCGACCUCGACCACAUCACCUUGACCAGGAAGUUACCAGGAAGCACAACUCAGUCAAAAUAUUUUCUCUGAAAUAUUAGGGACCAUAUUCUUAGUGGGUUGAAAAUUAGUAGUUUUCUUGAGAAUUAUAGGGGAGAUGAUAAAAACCGCUAUAAUUUCCUAUUAAACCCUGGGAAGAGGAAGGAAAGGGGAUUCUUCUUCUUUUUUUUCUCUCUCUGGGCAACUGAACCCAUUGGACCUUUUUCUCUCUCUACCACUGGGAAAUUUCUAUUUCGCUUAUGAUUUCUUUAAGAUUAAUUAUUUUCAAUUAUUUCCUUUAAAUUUACUUAAAAGCUUUUUUGUUUAAAGCAAUCAUAAUUAAGCCACAUGAAUUGUGGUAUGGGUUUUUCCAAGUAAGACCCAAAUCGCUAACUUGAGCGUCGGAGGGUUCUCGCCGGAAAAACUUUCAGCGCCUCCUAACUGUUGGCUGUGCUCACAGGCUCACAGGUUAUCUGCUCAUGGAUCGUCUGCUCAUGAAUUGUCUGCUCAUGGGUUGUCUGCUCAUGGAACAUCUACUCAUAGAAAAUCUGCUCAUGGUGCUAACAAAUCAGCGGCUUCCCACCAAACAAAUUUAAUGUUGAUGCAGGGAUCUGAGAUUUGACCAACUCAUCCGGAUUUCGACAUCAACAGCUAACAAAAUGAAUUAAUGUUCUGCUUUGCACCCACUGCCAUUCAUUAUCAAGCACCCACACCUAUAUAAAAGCAUGUAAUCAUAUAUAUUCACUCCAUAGACUUUAAUUGUAAACAUCUGAAGCAGUUGGGGGUUCAUAAUCAUGACCAUCUUAAGCCUGAAUGCGACAAGGUCUUCUAAUUGAUUUUCUAAAAUACAAUAUCACCUUGAUUGUAAGGGGAAUCAUGUGCCCAAGAAAUAGAGUUCCCCCCAAUGCAAAACCAUACGUAAGAUAAAAUAUAUGGAGCAGAUGGAAGCAAUGAAACGUAUAUGGUCUAGCAGGAAAUCUAUAGAGGCCAUGUAAGUCAUUGCCAUAGCUGUGAUUACUACCCACAUUGUCCCCAUUAAAAACGACACAAGAAUCCUACGCUUCUGUAGUGGCAAGCCGCUUAUGAGCAGUAGUAAAAUGCUCAGAGAACCCAGAAAACCAGUGGUAUUGAACAAUAAAAAGCAGGUGUAACGAUGUGUAGUUGCUGAUGUCGGCAAGAAGAAGAAGAAGUGUCAUGCCAAGGACUAUUGAGGAGGGUCCUCACCAGCUUGGAAAGCCAUGCAGCAAUCAGUGAUGCCACCACCAUUAUGGCAUUUCUCAUUUUUUCCAACCAAUCAUCUUCCAGCUUUUUAGUUGAAUUUUCUAACCCUUUACCUUGUUGAUUUUGGCUUUUACUUUCAAGGGAUAUUAAGCUGUUAGUCUGUUCACUUGCUGACAAUUGAACAUCCUUUGCUCUAUAUGCCCCAGCACGUCGAAUCAACUCCCCAAUCUCCAAUCUUUUAUGUCUCUUUUGCUUUGUGCUAGUACAUCCAAUGCUGUGAAGCCAUUUGCAUUAAGAGCAUUCGCAUCUAUGAUAACUAGUUGUCAAAACCUUAUGACCCGCAUAUUUGAUUAUUAGUAUGUGAUAAAAAGAAAGCAUAAAUUUCAAUUUACAUACGCCCACCUAGAAUGACAAUAUUCAACUAACUCCACAAGGAUCAGAAAACAUAACUUUACUCCAUUCGUCGUUAAGAAGAUAAAAAGAAUUUCAUCAAUACGCUCUCAUUUUGCUCUCACCUUUGAAAAUGAAAAUGGUAGUAAAUUGAUAAUUUCAUAUCUUGCAAGUAAAUAAAAGAUUGUCAUUUUAGUUGGCGUAAAUUAAACUAUACCCAAAUACAAAUGUUCAUUAAAAUAAAUGAGUGCCUAUUAUGUGAUCUGCAUUAGAUUUCUAAACUUGUUAUUUGAAAAGCAAGCCAAAAUUGACCUUCUAAAGCAAUUCUUGCUUGCUACAAAUCAAAUUAUUCGGAACUGGUAGAGAUAAUUUAACUCAUUAGAAAAACUCUUAAGAUUGUGAUUGAUUUGAACUUGGAAGAUUUUUCACCUUUAAGUAUAUUUAUUUAUUUAGCAGCAGAAACAAAUUAUGCACUUUACAAUUGUGAAUAAAACAGUACCUCAAUUUGUUUACCUGCAACUGCGAGCUGCAAGAUAGUCAU